GGAAAUCCCACACUUUGCUCACCUUGCCGCAAACCGGCUGGAAAAAGCCCCCCCCACUUAUACGGGAAAGUGCGCUCGCGCGCGAUAUGCGACGAAAAAAGGAAAAGAAACUUCCCCCGGAAGUAGUAGUUGGUGUAUGAUUGAACUUUAAAUAUUUGAUACGGGCACGCGAACUGAAUUAUGCACCGACACGGGCAAAAUAAAAGCCUCUCGCUCACGGUGACACGGCGCGUCGAGGUGUCGUUGUCGCAGUCGUUUUCUUUUCCGUGUGCGUGUGCCGACGCGGCGCGGCUGCCGCACAAACGGUCUAAGCAAUGGGGGCGAGCGCCCGGUGUGUGUUAAUUCGAAAAGCGAUUCUAGCGAUCGAUGAUGGUGUUACUUUUUUUUUAGUUUUUGGGUUUUCCUUCAUCCCAGUCUCGUGUACUGGGGGGAAUAAAUUAAUCAAUCCAUGAUUUGUUUA